rnacentral:rRNA from 1 species
AUUGAACGCUGGCGGCAGGCUUAACACAUGCAAGUCGAGCGGGGUGAUGGUGCUUGCACUAUCACUUAGCGGCGGACGGGUGAGUAAUGCUUAGGAAUCUGCCUAUCAGUGGGGGACAACAUUCCGAAAGGAAUGCUAAUACCGCAUACGUCCUACGGGAGAAAGCAGGGGAUCUUCGGACCUUGCGCUAAUAGAUGAGCCUAAGUCGGAUUAGCUAGUUGGUGGGGUAAAGGCCUACCAAGGCGACGAUCUGUAGCGGGUCUGAGAGGAUGAUCCGCCACACUGGGACUGAGACACGGCCCAGACUCCUACGGGAGGCAGCAGUGGGGAAUAUUGGACAAUGGGGGAAACCCUGAUCCAGCCAUGCCGCGUGUGUGAAGAAGGCCUUAUGGUUGUAAAGCACUUUAAGCGAGGAGGAGGCUACUGAGACUAAUACUCUUGGAUAGUGGACGUUACUCGCAGAAUAAGCACCGGCUAACUCUGUGCCAGCCGCCGCAGUAA